GUGAGAGAUUAGCAUGUCUUGUUGGGUAUGAUAUAACAUGCUAACCUCCCCUGUUAUUGUAAUGGUGAGAGAUUAGCAUGUCUUGUUGGGUAUGAUAUAAAAUGCUAACCUCCCCUGUUAUUGUGAUGGUGAGAGAUUAGCAUGUCUUGUUGGGUAUGAUAUAAAAUGCUAACCUCCCCUGUUAUUGUAAUGGUGAGAGGUUAGCAUGUCUUGUUGGGUAUGAUAUAAAAUGCUAACCUCUCCUGUUAUUGUAAUGGUGAGAGAUUAGCAUGUCUUGUUGGGUAUGAUAUAAAAUGCUAACCUCUCCUGUUAUUGUAAUGGUGAGAGAUUAGCAUGUCUUGUUGGGUAUGAUAUAACAUGCUAACCUCCCCUGUUAUUGUAAUGGUGAGAGAUUAGCAUGUCUUGUUGGGUAUGAUAUAAAAUGCUAACCUCCCCUGUUAUUGUAAUGGUGAGAGAUUAGCAUGUCUUGUUGGGUAUGAUAUAAAAUGCUAACCUCCCCUGUUAUUGGGAUGGUGAAAAGUUAGCAUGUCUUGGGGUUAUGAUAUUUGUUUGUCUCUUAACUUUCUCACUUAUUAUUAUUAUUAUUAUUAUAAUUGUUAUUAUUAUUGUUAUUAUUAUUACAAUAAAAGUGAUUCUGCGCUUUAACCUCA